rnacentral:rRNA from 1 species
GGCAAAGUUUGCAUGUGAUAGCUUUUUUGGGAUGCCCCAAUGAGAGCCCUCCGAACUAAAGAAGCAAGACAUUACCAUUGUUUUUUUUUCGACUUCAAAUUUUGAUCCUUAGGUAUUUUUUGGGCCUUUUCGUGAUCCGUUCUACAUUACGGGACCAAAAUUAUUCGUUAGAACGUUUUUUCGCAUUUAUUUCAUGUAUCAAGCCUCGUUAAGGCUAGAUGGGGUAUCCUUACGUAGCGGGUGGGACCCACGACGAAUGGUUCCUAAAGUCGCUAAAUAAGUAUUAAUACGAUUGCAUUGCAUGUACUAACGGAUGCAAUCAUACCAGCACUAAUGCACCGGAUCCCAUCAGAACUCCACAGUUAACAUGCUUGGGAGGGAGUAGUACUAGGAUGGGUCACCUCCCGGAAAGUUCUCGUGUUGUAUCUUUUUUUUUCUUUUUGUUUUUUGGUUAUAACUUUUUGACUCAAUAACUUAUACACAGA